CCAGAUGAUGAGACCAAGGCGAAUGUGACUCCGGCUCUGCCCGGGCCCGCAGUGGGGCUGUGGGGGGAUCCGGAGUCUCGGAGGGGACACCUGAGGCCGGGCUCCCUGCCGUAAGGCCGGGUCCAUAGCACUGCUGGCCUUGGUGGGGUGGGGGUGGGCAGAAGCCGCAUGAGCACAAGCUUGGAUCUGACG
rfam:Fukomys damarensis contig152716, whole genome shotgun sequence.